rnacentral:rRNA from 1 species
CAGCCGCCGCGGUAAUACGUAGGUGGCAAGCGUUGUCCGGAAUUAUUGGGCGUAAAGGGCUCGCAGGCGGUUUCUUAAGUCUGAUGUGAAAGUCCCCGGCUCAACCGGGGAGGGUCAUUGGAAACUGGGAAACUUGAGUGCAGAAGAGGAGAGUGGAAUUCCACGUGUAGCGGUGAAAUGCGUAGAGAUGUGGAGGAACACCAGUGGCGAAGGCGACUCUCUGGUCUGUAACUGACGCUGAGGAGCGAAAGCGUGGGGAGCGAACAGGAUUAGAUACCCCUGUAGUCCCUGUCUCUUAUAC